UUGGAGGGCAAGUCUGGUGCCAGCAGCCGCGGUAAUUCCAGCUCCAAUAGCGUAUAUUAAAGUUGUUGCAGUUAAAAAGCUCGUAGUUGAAUUUCGGGAUCAAUGUUUCGGUCAUGCCGUUGGUAUGUACUGAUAUUAUUGGUUUCUCACCUUCUAAAGAACCGUAAUGCCGUUAAUUUGGUGUCACGGGGAAUUAGGACUGUUACCUUGAAAAAAUUAGAGUGUUUAAAGCAGGCUCACGCUUGAAUACAUUAGCAUGGAAUAAUGAAAUAGGACAUCCGAUUCUAUUUUGUUGGUUUCUAGGAUCGAUGUAAUGAUUAAUAGGGAUAGUUGGGGGCAUUAGUAUUCAAUUGUCAGAGGUGAAAUUCUUGGAUUUAUUGAAGACUAACUACUGCGAAAGCAUUUGCCAAGGAUGUUUUCAUUAAUCAAGAACGAAAGUUAGGGGAUCGAAGACGAUCAGAUACCGUCGUAGUCUUAACCAUGAACUAUGCCGACUAGGGAUCGGAUGAUGUUAAUUUUUUAAUGACUCAUUCGGCGCCUUACGGGAAACCAAAGUGUUUGGGUUC
rnacentral:rRNA from 1 species